rnacentral:rRNA from 1 species
AUUGAACGCUGGCGGCAGGCCUAACACAUGCAAGUCGAACGAGUGGCGGACGUGUGAGUAAUGUCUGGGACACUGCCUGAUGGAGGGGGAUAACUACUGGACACGGUAGCUAAUACCGCAUACCAUCAGAUGUGCCCAUAUGGUUUUCGCUAGUUGGUGGGGUAACGGCUCACCAAGGCGACGAUCCCUAGCUGGUCUGAGAGGAUGACCAGCCACACUGGAACUGAGACACGGUCCAGACUCCUACGGGAGGCAGCAGUGGGGAAUAUUGCACAAUGGGCGCAAGCCUGAUGCAGCCAUGCCGCGUGUAUGAAGAAGGCCUUCGGGUUGUAAAGUACUUUCAGCGGGGAGGCGUUACCCGCAGAAGAAGCACCGGCUAACUCCGUGCCAGCAGCCGCGGUAAUUC